GAGCAGGAAUUCAAAGCAAAUUUUUACUACAGAGAGAGUUUGGGGCCAGCCUGGGCUGCAUACGAGUCUGUUUCAAGGGCAGGGGGUGUAGAAGGGGAAAGAAAGAAAAAUAGAGGAAAAAAAAGCUUCUCCAAACCAGUUGGCUCCAGUCUGGUAGGAAAUAAUAACAGGGCAGGUGAGAACAGACGGCUUGGUAGUAUGGUCAGCCUGUAGGAAACACUAAAAUAAACAACUUUCAAGAAAAUGAGCAGUUCCAAGCUGUCACCAGAGAGGGGUAUGGUAGACCCCUUGCCUGGUUCUGCCCAGGGACGUUCUUCUCAAGUCUUCAGGCCUCCCAGGGUUGUGAGGAGGUAGGCCUAUGGCGGCUGAAGAUACAUGUGGCUGUAGAGAAAGGGUCAGUUUCAUGGGCAGUCAUGUAUCACCUGACCUGGGUAGUGGGAACAGAACUCAGGUCCUGUAGCGAGCAGCACGUGCUCUUUCCAGCCAUGGCUUCAAACUCUCCUGUAACCAAUGACGACCCUGAGUUUCUUAUCUCAUGUUCCAGGGAUGUACUACCACCCCUGGCUUAUAUGUUGAUGGGUAUUGAACCUCGGGGCUAUGCAUGCUAAGUGAGCGCUCUACCAAGGAAACCGCUUCCCCAGCCCUUCACACUCUUUUAACAAGAAGUGUCUUGUCAACUUGAAGCCUCCGUAGAGAAACAUUUUCUAAGAAAAUUGACCUUAAAGUAUUAUUUUAUGUCUAAGAAUGCUUUGCUUGCAUGUAUGCAAAUAGACUACACAUGUGCCUGGUGCCCGAGGAAACCAGAAGGGGGUCAUUGGAGCCUCUGGACCUGGAGUCACAGAUGGUGUGAGCUGCCAUGUGGGUGCUGGGAAUCUAACAGGUUGCUUGUAAAAGCAGCCAGUGCUCUUAACCUCGGAGCCAUCUCUCCAGCCCCUGGUUUCAAUUUUUGAAGUGGAUUUUAGGAACAAAGCAAAACACAGCACAGGUACAGAGAGUUCCUGGAGCCUCUACCCCGGACACACAAAUCUCCCUCCCUUGAUCACCCUGCCGUCACACUGUGGACCAUGGCUUCAUUAGUCCCGGAUGCCUGUGGCUGAUCACUCAGCUGUCACACUGUGGACCACGGCUUCCUCAGCCAGGGUUGCCCGUGGUGGUGUUUUUCUUUACCUUUGUAUUUUUAAGUUCAGUCAUAAUGAUUUCUUUCCCAUACAACCAGCAAGAAUCUGGACUCGCCCACGAGAGGAGAGCCGUAAGCCUGUUGGCACGCCCAUGCUGUUUUCUCUUUAUGUUGACAAGGGCUUAGUCAAACACCCAGGUGCAGACCUGCGGGUUUCAGCAGAGCGCAGCUGAAACGGUAGAAAUGUUUUCUGCAGCUUCCCAUUCCAGAUGACGUAGUCACGAGACACCAUCCUUUGCAAAGGGGGCUGGAAUGCACCAGAGACUUUAUAUAAAAUUCUAGUCAGGGCUAUUCACAUAAAACCAAAGAUUUCCCAGGACUUUUGUCACUCUCACUUUUAGCUGCCUGCCUGGCCGUGCACUCACUGGGGAGGUGCAGGUACCAUUUGAAGUUGUUUUGCUGGUUCUGUCCCGGGUUUGUGAGUUUUCUUUCCAGGAUUCUUGUUGCAUGCUGUGAGCUACAUUUGGUAGCCCCUGGAAAGCAGGGGCCCGAGGGGUGAGGUGAAGACCAAACCCAGAUGGAAACAGUCUGCCUUUCGUUGGGUUUAGGACAUCAGGGGCCAUCUAAACCCAGUGACGUCUACAGCCGUGAGGUGCACAAUUUUCUUGCAUGGUGAGAGAGGUAGCCAGGCAGCUGCCAGCAGAUUCUUUGGUUAGAAGCAUAAGGUUGUCUAGUGUUGCCUUUGACUUAUGGGAAGGCGCUGGAUCAGCAGAAAGAUCAAAUAGACCAAGAAAGGAGAUGUUUGGGCUUUCUCAUUCCAUCUCUUCCUGAGUCUGUCGUGGGAUUCUCUUUGUCCUGUGGGGGAGAGAAGCAGGAGUUUGGCUUCCACACAUCUACAUGGCCCUGAUUGCCACCGGCAAACUAUUGAGUGUGUAUAAACUCUGCUGAUGGUACACCCAGAAAAUGAUGGUCUCUGAAGGUUCAGAUGAGUGUAGUCUUGGCAGAUGGGGAUCCACCCCAAGCAGUAUGGGCUCCUGCUUCCACUUCUGAGUAGUUCCCUACUCCCAAGCACAUGAAUGGAGCACGGGUGCUCCGUGACACACUUGUUGGAAACCCCUGAGAAUUAUGGUUGCCCAGUUACUUCCUCCAAUAAAGAAUAAACACCAUAAAAGCAGAGCUUCCUAUGUUUAACCACUGGGGGGGGGGGGGUCCUCAGCUUCCAGAACAGUCUUGGACACUUAGCAGUUCUUCAAUAAAAUGGUUGAUGGUCAGUGAGUGUGGUCCUGUCCUGAGGCUAUUUUACUAAGCUUCAAGAAAGAAAGGAUGACAUGGUGUGUCUAUUGUUGUGCCUGGUACCAAGCUACUUAACUUUGCAGAAGGAACCAAGUUCCUUUGCUCUGGUUUUCUGCUCCAGUAACUUCAGAGAGACCUAGGAAGAAAACGUGUUGAAUCAGGAGCUUAUGGGGAGAAGGGCCAAUAAGGAGAACUGGGGGUCUGUGUGUGUUACAGCUCAGCUGUGAAAAGACUUUGAGGGAAGGGAGUUGCUAGAAGUUUCUUUGGCUCUCUACAAAAUGCCCUUGGGCUCCAGGUCCUUUGGUGAUUUGCAUGGCUGAAUUCACACUUCAAUUUUUCAGGCACCUGUCCCGAGGAACUGAAAUUCUCUGUGAGUUUUGGUGGGGGAGUGUUGAGGCAGGUGUUUGUAUUCUUGAAGUUAGUCUUAGGGUUUCCAUUGCUGUGAAGAGACACCGUGAUCAAGGCAACUCUUACAAAGGACAACAUUUAAUUGGGGCUGGCUGACAGGUUCAGAGGUUCAGUCCAGUAUCAUCAUGGCAGGAAGUAUGACAGGCAUGGUGCUGGAGGAGCUGAGAGUUCUGCAUCUUGAUUUGAAGACCACCAGGAGAGCCUGGCAUCCUCAGGCAGCUAGGAGGGAGCUCUCUUCCGCAAUGUGUGGUAUCUAAGAAUAGAAGGAGACAUGGUGUGUCUCCAAAGCCCACCCCCACACUUCCUCCAACAAGGCCACAUUUCCUAACAGUAUCACUACCUAUGGGCCUGAGCAUAUUCAAACCACCACAGAGUUACAGCAAGAGGGGACAAGAUACCUGUCAGCCGCUGGAGCAACUGUCCAUUACUCGACACUGAGAUUACCAACUUCAUGUUUACCUUAUGCAAAUAGCUUUCCUUGCUAUUUAGAGGAAUCUGUUAGCAUGAGAAGAGUGGAGGAGGGGGACCAUAAUCGUGGUUGAGUGACCCAUGUGGGACUACAACCCACAGCUUCACAAAGCUCAUAACCCCUCCAUUUUAUGACACUCCUUCCCUACCCCCAGCUUCCCAGCAGAGCUGUUCUACCAUGGCACUGAGGAACAGGAGUGAGGACAAGGAAGUCACAUGGAGUUCCUCUGGGCUGCAUCCAGUCUUGAACUUUCUGAAGAAGGUCAUAAAAAUAGCCUCAAGUGGUAGUACAUGCCUGUAAUCUAAACACUUAGGAGGAAGGGAUAACCGGGUCAUCACAGUUUUGAGGUCAGUCAGGGUUACAUCCUGUCAAAAAUAAUAAAUACGUGUCCAUGGAAGUUGAGUUGUUCUCCUCCUCAGAGAGCCUCCUGAGACCUGGGCUGUAAGAUGGUAUCUCUCUUUCCUUUCAUCUGGACCCGUUAACCCCAUCAUACAACAGAAAGUCACGGAGACGCCUCCCUAUGGAUGGGCCCUUUCCUACAGUGUCUCCUGACACAUUCAGUGAAGCUUCAGGAAGAAGCUUCUAGAAGCCUGUGUCUAAAUUUCCAUCUCCCUCGGAAGUUACGCUUUUUAUUUUCACGAAAAUGUCACUGUGGUUCUUGGCGUUGACCGUGAGAGAGUGAGCCCUUGGCUACACAGCUGACAUGUUUUAAGCAGGUACCCAAGCAGCCUCCAACAGGAGGCUUUCUGAUGUCUUUGGUCUUUCAUGAAAUGGUCUUUGCCAACUGAUAGAGAAAUCCCCUGAUUGAGAGACUUUUCUCUUUUACUGCUCACUUAAGAAACUCACCCCAGCCAAUUUGCUUUU
rnacentral:lncRNA from 1 species